rnacentral:rRNA from 1 species
GAUGAACGCUGGCGGCGUGCCUAAUACAUGCAAGUCGAGCGAACAGACGAGGAGCUUGCUCCUCUGACGUUAGCGGCGGACGGGUGAGUAACACGUGGAUAACCUCCCUAUCAGACUGGGAUAACUUCGGGAAACCGGAGCUAAUACCGGAUAAUAUCUUGAACCGCAUGGUUCAAUAGUGAAAGACGGUUUUGCUGUCUCUUAUAGAUGGAUCCGCGCCGCAUUAGCUAGUUGGUAAGGUAACGGCUUACCAAGGCAACGAUGCGUAGCCGAACUGAGAGGGUGAUCGGCCACACUGGAACUGAGACACGGUCCAGACUCCUACGGGAGGCAGCAGUAGGGAAUCUUCCGCAAUGGGCGAAAGCCUGACGGAGCAACGCCGCGUGAGUGAUGAAGGUCUUCGGAUCGUAAAACUCUGUUAUUAGGGAAGAACAAAUGUGUAAGUAACUAUGCACGUCUUGACGGUACCUAAUCAGAAAGCCACGGCUAACUACGUG